UACGUAGGGUGCGAGCGUUUGUCCGGAAUUAUUGGGCGUAAAGAGCUCGUAGGCGGCUUGUCGCGUCGGAUGUGAAAGCCCGGGGCUUAACUCCGGGUCUGCAUUCGAUACGGGCAGGCUAGAGUGUGGUAGGGGAGGUCGGAAUUCCUGGUGUAGCGGUGAAAUGCGCAGAUAUCAGGAGGAACACCGGUGGCGAAGGCGGUUCUCUGGGCAUUACCUGACGCUGAGGAGCGAAAGUGUGGGGAGCGAACAGG
rnacentral:rRNA from 1 species